rnacentral:piRNA from 1 species
UGAUAGAGGAUGCCUGUUGCCACGA